rnacentral:rRNA from 1 species
CGUAGGGUGCGAGCGUUAAUCGGAAUUACUGGGCGUAAAGCGUGCGCAGGCGGUUUUGUAAGACAGAUGUGAAAUCCCCGGGCUCAACCUGGGACCUGCAUUUGUGACUGCAAGGCUAGAGUACGGUAGAGGGGGAUGGAAUUCCGCGUGUAGCAGUGAAAUGCGUAGAUAUGCGGAGGAACACCGAUGGCGAAGGCAAUCCCCUGGACCUGUACUGACGCUCAUGCACGAAAGCGUGGGGAGCAAACAGGAUUAGAUACCCUGGUAGUCCACGCCCUAAACGAUGUCAACUGGUCGUUGGGUCUUUACUGACUCAGUAACGAAGCUAACGCGUGAAGUUGACCGCCUGGGGAGUACGGCCGCAAGGUUG